GAUUUGUUUUGCAAACGGGAUAGACAGACAGAUUUAAUUAAAAUAAUUUAACAGAAUCAUUACUUUGGAAAAAACUUAUUGAAAUUUUAUAGGAGGGCAGGUUAAAAAAGUCUAGAUUAGGUUGGCAAGUCGUCCUUGCAGUGUCAUUACUGAGGACACAGAGAAGCGUAUUAGGACACCGGGUUCAUAAACCAAAAUAUAUUGUCGCAGAAAUAUAUGAGCCUUUCGUUCGGAUAUCAACUUCCCAUAGGUAAGUUAAGUCAUUCAAGAAAGUGCUACCUAGUAGUUUCAACCAAUCAUCUGGUAACUCCUGCCUAAGUCAUUACUGGAUAAUUUUCUUUUUGCGUGUCACCACCGCCGUUAAGCUCCGUUAGUUUACAUUCGAAACGAUAGGUAUAUUAAGUCAUGCAAGAAAGUGCUAACUAUCAGAUUCAUUCUAUGUACUUAAGGCAUAAUCAUCAAUUCACAAACAAAAUCUUUACUCUUUAAUGUCAUCACGGACAAUUUCGAGGUAAGGACUUCGGGGCAAGAUGUAACUAAAUUCAAAACUUAAGCUUACUAAUGAAUAAUAAAUAAGGAUUAUAUCUUAAUUCAUUGAACACUAAAAAAAUCUACACUAAAAUGGUUGAUAUUUGUAUUGAAUUUCCUACUCCCUUUAUUUUAUCUAAUUUGCUUGAUUUUUUGCUAUCGCAACUAAAUUAACAAGAAAACAUUAGCAACAAAAUUGAUAUCAUUCCCUAUUACUCGCCAAAAUUAAAUGUAUUAAAGGUAGAAAAAAAAACAACUAAAAAUUCCAAUAAAGCUGUUUGUGUAUUAAGGUAUAAAAACGAAACCUUUUUACGGUAUAUUCAUAAGCUCUAUUAAAUUUACCAAUUAUCAAUAACAACAAAAGAAUUUAUCACAAAAAUCACGGAAGGAAAAAAAACACAGCAACAACAAAUACAGAAGAAUCAAAAGACAAAACCACAAAAAUCGAAUCAAACAAUUUCGUUCAAAAGUACAAAACAACAAUACCAUCACAUAACAGCAACUGAUGAAAAGACAGAAAGACAGCAGAAAUAAAAGUUAUAUAAAAAAACAAAAAUUAAUGGAAAUCCACUGCUAAACGAUUAAAUAUCAUACGCGUCGACAUCACAAUCAAAAUCAUAAGAAAAAAACACAAAAGUAAUACAAACUGAAUAAAAUGAAAAAGAAUCAUCAUUCUCAUACCGAAUCAUCAUCAUCAGCAGUAGCAAACGGCAUUAUCAUCUAUAUACAUACUUUUUGACCUUUUCCUGUAACGGAAAUUCAUCACACAUAAACAAAUAAUAUAAACUAUCACAACACACAUACACUGGCAUCAUGAGAAUUAUAAAAAAAGCAACAAACAUAACGACUAACAGUGGCUCAAACAAAUGAUGAAAAAUGUUGAAUGUGAAAAAAUCCCGACUAAAAUACACAGUCGAAAGGUGAGCUCAACAGCCAGUCAGUAGAAGACAAAAACUACAAAAAAAAUCAAAAGCAAACAACAGUCAACAGAAAUGAAAAUGAAGAACGAAGAAAAAACCUUGUCCAUGAUGGAAACAAGGCAAAAACUGAAGGUACUACAAACAUUUGAAUCUACAUGGUAUGAGUACAAUCGAACAAGACAAUCAGUACGUUUAAAUGGCUGUCCGUCUAUCUAUCUAUAUGUACGAUUGUCUGUAUGUAUCUAUGAGCCUGUUGUUCACAUGUACAAUGUUCUUCAUUCUAUAGAGAAAUAUUAAUUCAUACAAAAGAAUAGAAUAUUAUUUUUAUUUGGAAAAAAAUACAUUUGAAUGUCUCACUUUUCACGUACAUCUUUGACCAUUUGUUUCAUAUAAAAUAUAUGAAUGUACAACGAUCCAGCCAGCCAGUCAUUUCAUUCAACCAACAUCCAUCCAUUCCAACACCAAAAACCUCUGUUGCCUGCAUUUUGGUAUCGUAUCCACCAUACGACAAUUGUCAGUUACAGCAGCAAGUGCCACAAGUUACUACUACUCCACUCAUAAGUAUGUUUGUACGUAUGUACGGACAAACUGACAUACCCUACUACUUUCCUAACAAAUAUACACAUUUACUUUCUGUAUUGCUUGUAACUGCUGCUUGUGGCAGCAACAAAAAAAAAAAAAUAAAAAAAGCAAGGAAAAAAGGAAGCGAAAAUCCCAAAAUAAAUUCAUAAAAAUCAUACAAAGUAGGAAGAGUUUAGAGCGCGGUUAACAAAAGUACUCGUACUUAGUUUAAAAAAUUCCAACUGUAUAAAUGGGAAACGAAUGUAACAAACCACAGAGCUGCGAUAUUCAUAAUUCCAGCUUAAGCUAAAAGGGAUCAGGGGUAUUUAAAUUUGGAAAGGGUGAUGAAUGGUGGCCAAUGGUAUGAUAAUAACCAUCUAGAAUGAGAAACAAUUGUAAG